AGAUUAUCCCAGUAGAAGGAUGUGACCAGGUGAAUGGAGAGGAACAGAAAACCUUUGGAGAAAUCCUCCACGAGAUUAUCAUCUCCAAGGAGCUGAGCAGUCUAAAGGAGAAGAAACACAACCAGACCACUGGCUUCAUCGGACUAAAGGAUCUCCACUGUGUCAAGGGCUGCUACCCUCCAAGCCUGCUGAAAGCCUGGGACUCCUUCAACACACAGAGAGGAUCAGAGAAUGACCGGCCAG